CGCGGCCUAUCAGCUUGUUGGCGGGGUAAUGGCCCACCAAGGCUUCGACGGGUAGCUGGUCUGAGAGGACGACCAGCCACACUGGGACUGAGAUACGGCCCAGACUCCUACGGGAGGCAGCAGUGGGGAAUCUUGCGCAAUGGGCGAAAGCCUGACGCAGCGACGCCGCGUGGGGGACGAAGGCCCUCGGGUUGUAAACCCCUUUCGGCAGGGACGAAGCGAUCGUGACGGUACCUGCAGAAGAAGCUCCGGCUAACUACGUGCCAGCAGCCGCGGUAAGACGUAGGGAGCGAGCGUUGUCCGGAUUCAUUGGGCGUAAAGAGCGCGCAGGCGGUUCGGAAAGUCGGAUGUGAAAACUCGGAGCUCAACUCCGAGCGUGCAUCCGAAACUCCCGGACUAGAGGUAGGUAGGGGAGAUCGGAAUUCCUGGUGUAGCGGUGAAAUGCGCAGAUAUCAGGAGGAACACCGGUGGCGAAGGCGGAUCUCUGGGCCUUACCUGACGCUCAGGCGCGAAAGCUAGGGGAGCAAACAGGAUUAGAUACCCUGGUAGUCCUAGCCGUAAACGUUGGGUGCUAGGUGUGGGCGGAUAUCGACCCCGUCCGUGCCGAAGCUAACGCAUUAAGCACCCCGCCUGGGGAGUACGG
rnacentral:rRNA from 1 species